rnacentral:rRNA from 1 species
GACGAACGCUGGCGGCGUGCCUAAUACAUGCAAGUAGAACGCUGAAGGAGGAGCUUGCUUCUCCGGAUGAGUUGCGAACGGGUGAGUAACGCGUAGGUAACCUGCCUGGUAGCGGGGGAUAACUAUUGGAAACGAUAGCUAAUACCGCAUAAGAGUAGAUGUCGCAUGACAUUUGCUUAAAAGGUGCAACUGCACCACUACCAGAUGGACCUGCGUUGUAUUAGCUAGUUGGUGAGGUAACGGCUCACCAAGGCAACGAUACAUAGCCGACCUGAGAGGGUGAUCGGCCAACCUGGGACUGAGACACGGCCCAGACUCCUACGGGAGGCAGCAGUAGGGAAUCUUCGGCAAUGGACGGAAGUCUUACCGAGCAACGCCGCGUGAGUGAAGAAGGUUUUCGGAUCGUAAAGCUCUGUUGUAAGAGAAGAACGAGUGUGAGAGUGGAAAGUUCACACUGUGACGGUAUCUUACCAGAAAGGGACGGCUAACUACGUG